rnacentral:lncRNA from 1 species
AUGGUGAAGGUGAAGGCCGGAGUAAAUGAAUUUGGCUGUAUUGGGCACCUGGUCACUAGUGCUGCUUUUAAAUCUAGCAAAGUGGAUAUUGCUGCCAUCAACAACCCCCCUCACUGUCCUCAACUGCAUGGCCUACAUGUUUCAGUAUGAUUCCACCCAUGGCAAGUUCCACAGUACCAUCAAGGCUGAGAACGGGAAGCUUGUCAUCAGUGGAAAUCCCAUAACCAUCUUCCAGGAGUGAGAUCCUACCCCAGUCAAAUGGGGCGAUGCUGGCACUGAUUAUGUUGUGGAGUUCACCAGUGUAUUAACUACCAUGGAGAAGGCUGAGGCUCACUUAGAUAAGGAAGCCAAAGAGUCAUCAUCUCUGCCCCCUCCUCUGAUGCCCCCAUGUUCAUGAUGGAUGUAAAUCAUGAGAAGUGCAAAAACAACUUCACAGUCAUCAGCAAAGCUUCCUGUGUCACCAACUGCUUAGCCUCCCAGCCAAGGCCAUCCAUGACAACUUUAGCAUUAUAGAAGGACUCAUGGCCACAUCCAUGCCAUCAAUGCCACCUAGAAGACCAUGGGUGGCCGCUCCGGGAGACCAUGGUGUGAUGGCUGCAGGACUCUCCAGAACAUCAUCCCUGCAUCUCCUGGCACUGCCAAGGCAUGGGCAAGGUCAUCCCUGAGCUGAACCAGGAAGCUCAUUGGCAUAUCCUUCCAUGUUCCCACUGCCAACAUCAGUCACAGACCUGACCUGCCAUCUGGAGAGACUUGUGCCAAAUAUGAUGACAUCAUGAAGGUGGCGAAGCAGGCUUUGGAGGGUCCCCUCAAGGGCAUCCUGGGCAUCGUGAGCACCAGGUUGUCUCCUCUGACUUUAACAGUGACACUCAUUCUUCCACUUUUGAUGCUGGGACUGGCAUUGCUCUCAAUGACCACUUUGUUAAGCUCAUUUCCUGAUAUGACCAUGAAUUUGGCUACAGCAACAGGGUGGGAGGCCUUAUGGUCCACAUGGCCUCCUAG